rnacentral:rRNA from 1 species
CGUGCUAAUCUGCGAUAAGCGCCGGUAAGGUGAUAUGAACCGUUAUAACCGGCGAUACCCGAAUGGGGAAACCCAGUGUGACUCGUCACACUAUCAUUAACUGAAUCCAUAGGUUAAUGAGGCGAACCGGGGGAACUGAAACAUCUAAGUACCCCGAGGAAAAGAAAUCAACCGAGAUUCCCCCAGUAGCGGCGAGCGAACGGGGAGGAGCCCAGAGCCUGAAUCAGCAUGUGUGUUAGUGGAAGCGUCUGGAAAGGCGCGCGAUACAGGGUGACAGCCCCGUACACAAAAGCGCAUGUGCUGUGAGCUCGAUGAGUAGGGCGGGACACGUGGUAUCCUGUCUGAAUAUGGGGGGACCAUCCUCCAAGGCUAAAUACUCCUGACUGACCGAUAGUGAACCAGUACCGUGAGGGAAAGGCGAAAAGAACCCCGGCGAGGGGAGUGAAAAAGAACCUGAAACCGUGUACGUACAAGCAGUGGGAGCACAGGUUUACCUGUGUGACUGCGUACCUUUUGUAUAAUGGGUCAGCGACUUAUAUUCUGUAGCAAGGUUAACCGAAUAGGGGAGCCGGAGGGAAACCGAGUCUUAAUUGGGCGUUAAGUUGCAGGGUAUAGACCCGAAACCCGGUGAUCUAGCCAUGGGCAGGUUGAAGGUUGGGUAACACUAACUGGAGGACCGAACCGACUAAUGUUGAAAAAUUAGCGGAUGACCUGUGGCUGGGGGUGAAAGGCCAAUCAAACCGGGAGAUAGCUGGUUCUCCCCGAAAGCUAUUUAGGUAGCGCCUCGUGAAUUCAUCUCCGGGGGUAGAGCACUGUUUCGGCUAGGGGGCCAUCCCGGCUUACCAACCCGAUGCAAACUGCGAAUACCGGAGAAUGUUAUCACGGGAGACACACGGCGGGUGCUAACGUCCGUCGUGAAGAGGGAAACAACCCAGACCGCCAGCUAAGGUCCCAAAGUCAUGGUUAAGUGGGAAACGAUGUGGGAAGGCCCAGACAGCCAGGAUGUUGGCUUAGAAGCAGCCAUCAUUUAAAGAAAGCGUAAUAGCUCACUGGUCGAGUCGGCCUGCGCGGAAGAUGUAACGGGGCUAAACCAUGCACCGAAGCUGCGGCAGCGACGCUGAUGCGUUGUUGGGUAGGGGAGCGUUCUGUAAGCCUGCGAAGGUGGCCUGUGAGGGUUGCUGGAGGUAUCAGAAGUGCGAAUGCUGACAUAAGUAACGAUAAAGCGGGUGAAAAGCCCGCUCGCCGGAAGACCAAGGGUUCCUGUCCAACGUUAAUCGGGGCAGGGUGAGUCGACCCCUAAGGCGAGGCCGAAAGGCGUAGUCGAUGGGAAACGGGUUAAUAUUCCCGUACUUGGUGUUACUGCGAAGGGGGGACGGAGAAGGCUAUGUUGGCCGGGCGACGGUUGUCCCGGUUUAAGCGUGUAGGUGUGUGUUCCAGGUAAAUCCGGUUCACUUUAACACUGAGGCGUGAUGACGAGGCACUACGGUGCUGAAGCAACAAAUGCCCUGCUUCCAGGAAAAGCCUCUAAGCAUCAGGUAACAUCAAAUCGUACCCCAAACCGACACAGGUGGUCAGGUAGAGAAUACCAAGGCGCUUGAGAGAACUCGGGUGAAGGAACUAGGCAAAAUGGUGCCGUAACUUCGGGAGAAGGCACGCUGACACGUAGGUGAAGUGAUUUACUCAUGGAGCUGAAGUCAGUCGAAGAUACCAGCUGGCUGCAACUGUUUAUUAAAAACACAGCACUGUGCAAACACGAAAGUGGACGUAUACGGUGUGACGCCUGCCCGGUGCCGGAAGGUUAAUUGAUGGGGUCAGCGCAAGCGAAGCUCCUGAUCGAAGCCCCGGUAAACGGCGGCCGUAACUAUAACGGUCCUAAGGUAGCGAAAUUCCUUGUCGGGUAAGUUCCGACCUGCACGAAUGGCGUAAUGAUGGCCAGGCUGUCUCCACCCGAGACUCAGUGAAAUUGAACUCGCUGUGAAGAUGCAGUGUACCCGCGGCAAGACGGAAAGACCCCGUGAACCUUUACUAUAGCUUGACACUGAACAUUGAGCCUUGAUGUGUAGGAUAGGUGGGAGGCUUUGAAGUGUGGACGCCAGUCUGCAUGGAGCCGACCUUGAAAUACCACCCUUUAAUGUUUGAUGUUCUAACGUGGACCCGUGAUCCGGGUUGCGGACAGUGUCUGGUGGGUAGUUUGACUGGGGCGGUCUCCUCCUAAAGAGUAACGGAGGAGCACGAAGGUUGGCUAAUCCUGGUCGGACAUCAGGAGGUUAGUGCAAUGGCAUAAGCCAGCUUGACUGCGAGCGUGACGGCGCGAGCAGGUGCGAAAGCAGGUCAUAGUGAUCCGGUGGUUCUGAAUGGAAGGGCCAUCGCUCAACGGAUAAAAGGUACUCCGGGGAUAACAGGCUGAUACCGCCCAAGAGUUCAUAUCGACGGCGGUGUUUGGCACCUCGAUGUCGGCUCAUCACAUCCUGGGGCUGAAGUAGGUCCCAAGGGUAUGGCUGUUCGCCAUUUAAAGUGGUACGCGAGCUGGGUUUAGAACGUCGUGAGACAGUUCGGUCCCUAUCUGCCGUGGGCGCUGGAGAACUGAGGGGGGCUGCUCCUAGUACGAGAGGACCGGAGUGGACGCAUCACUGGUGUUCGGGUUGUCAUGCCAAUGGCACUGCCCGGUAGCUAAAUGCGGAAGAGAUAAGUGCUGAAAGCAUCUAAGCACGAAACUUGCCCCGA